ACUCUGCAGGUAUGUUCCAGGACACUAUUCCCUGCGAAAUCAAGCGGAGUCACAGUUGUCACCACGCUUAGGGUGGAUUCCUCCUGGUGUGUGCUAGUCGGCGUGUACAUGUGCCUGUACGGCGGUGGUUUCUCGUCAUUGCAGUUCUGUUGUCGCGCAGUCAUAAUGAUUUGUCGGUCCUUUUUUGACGAUGCAUUGCAGCAGUUGGCCACCUACUGUGUCUGCGCUGUACUACAUUGUUUCGCUGUGCAGCGCGUGCUGCGUGUUAGGUCGCCUGCUGCAUUGGCCACAGACAUCCCAAUGUUCUUGCUGCCCAGCUCGUUCAGCAUAUC
rnacentral:lncRNA from 1 species